CAAGAACUGUGGAGUUAUAUCAAAAGUUGCAACAUGUAUAUAAUUGGAAUAUCAAAAAGAGAAGAAGAAGAAAAUGGAGCAGAAGAAACAUUUGCAGAAAUAAUGACUGAGAAGUUCUCAAAUUAAGAACAGAUAUCAAGCCACAGAACCAGGAAGCUUAGACAAUAUCAGCAGAAUAAACACCAAAGACUCCACACGGAGACACACCACAUUCAAACUGCAAAAAACAAAAAUAAAGAAAAAAAAAUUUAAUGAAUCUAGGAUUGGAGAACACUUUCCAUACUGAGGUAAAAGAAUACAAAUUACCAGAGACUUCUCAUGAAAAAUAAUGCAAACAAGAAGAGAAUGAAAUGAAAUCAUUAAAAUGCUCAAAGAAAAAGACUACAACCAUGAGUUCUAUAUCCAUUUAAAUUAUUAUUUCUUCAAAAAGAAGAAAUAAAAACUUUCUUAGACAAACAAAAACUAAAAAUUCCCACCCAGUGGACUUGCUCUGCAAGACAUGUUAAAAGAAGGUCUUUAGGCGGAAGGAAAAUCAUGUGUAGAUCAGAUGCUUGAAUCUACAUAAAGAAUCUAUGGCCAUACCACCCUGAACGUGCCCAAUCUCGUCUGAAUCUACAUAAAGAAAAAAGAAAGCAUCAGAGAAGUAGUUCAUGAAGGUUGUGUUUUUUAAUAGUUGGAGGAGCGGAGAGAACAGGCGUAGUGGAGAGAGUAAAGAAUAUUCCUUAUGUGCACAUGAGAAAGUCACCACAGAAAAGAAAGCAACCUGAUGCUGUCAGAGUGACUCACGUAUCCUCUAUUCUUGGAAGGAGGAGAAAAGAUGGAAGGCCAAUGCAAUACUUUGUUACAUGGAUCUUAUGUUACAUUAUGUCUGUGGCCCAGCAUGCUUAUGUGAAAGAAAGAAUACCAGUCUCAUUUUUCAGGUAUACAACUUCAAGAGAACACCAUGGCUUUAGUCAAAAGGAAAGAAGCUGCGUCAUGUUGUCGGUGUUUGAAGGAAGAAAAGGCUGAAGAUAAUUCUUUAUCAGGUGGAACAGAACCUCUUAUAUGAAAACUCUCUGUUCCCAUCAUUCAAAGACUACCAGGAACACAUCUGUGAUCAACAAAGAGAUUAUCUUGGUAGGAUGCCUGCUGAUGUUGGCUUUGAGUGACGUGAC
rnacentral:lncRNA from 1 species